rnacentral:ncRNA from 2 species
GCCGGCGAUGGGGAUGGAGUACCCCCGAUAACCGCCGUACCGGCUGAUGACUCCUGUCAUGCG